AAGAGUAAUUUUCCUCUAGUGCCACAUGUAGAGACGAGAUUGGAUUAGAAGUGGAUUAUUUGAGAAUAUUUGUCAUUUACUUUGAAGUCUUUUUUUAUGUGUAUUUUUGUUUUGUUUUGAAAAUGAGGAUAAUUUGGAGCUUUUGGUAGUGGUUAAGAUGAGUUGAAAUAUAGUUGAAGGUAAUUGUUUUUACAUUGAAAUUUAAAUUUUUUCCAUUAUUUCUUAUUUUAAUAGUUUUACUUUUUGUGGAACCGUGUUUUUCUCCCUCAAAAAU
rnacentral:lncRNA from 1 species